rnacentral:rRNA from 1 species
GAACCUCACCCUCAUGCUGUGAUCUCAUCCAGUCUCAAGCUAAGCAGGGUUAUGCCUGGGUGGAACUUGGAUGGGAGACCUCCAAGGGAAACCCAGAAGUGGUGUCUG